rnacentral:sRNA from 1 species
AGUGCGUGGAGACGAGAGGUGUUUCUAAAGAUGGGAGAAAUGACAGCGUGCAUGUGUGCCGAUGGGAGUCACCCCAUAGAGAAGGAAGAAAGCAGCGACAGAGGAGAGAAGGACUGCUCCUUGUCCUUGAGUAGCUGGCCAAGGGAGAGACCUCCUGCACAAAGGGAGGGUUUGGCCUCACACAGAAAGAAGCACACUUGGUUCGUCUCUGGCAACGGAAGGGAAGGUGUGGGUGUAGGGAACAGGGCGUGUGGAGGUGAUCUUUUGGGUGCUCUUAUUUUCUCAGUGAAAUACAGGACACAAGAGCAGCAGUGGACGGUGAGAAUGGGGAUGUUCCCAUCCAGCUUUCAGGGUCCCAUGUGAUAGUGCCCCAUGGCUGGCCUGUGUUCUGGGGACAGUCACUGGCCACACGCACUGCAGGGCACCAGGCAGCAGAGGCUGCCUUGGGCAGGACAGAGACAGACCCGUCAACUAAUGUGCCCAUUUUUGCCUCUGCCUCCAGGACUGUCCAACCCAUUCCGGGGUCUCAUGAAGCUGGGCACCGUGGAGCGGCGGGGGGCAAUGGGCAUCUGGAAGGAGCUCUUCUGCGAGCUCUCCCCGCUGGAGUUCCGCCUCUACCUGAGCAACGAGGAGCGCACCUGUGUGGAGAACUGCUCCCUGCUUCGCUGUGAGUCUGUGGGGCCAGCCCAUAGUGACGGGCGCUUUGAGCUGGUCUUCUCUGGCAAGAAGCUGGCCCUGCGCGCCUCCUCCCAGGACGAAGCUGAGGACUGGCUGGACCGGGUGCGGGAGGCCCUGCAGAAGGUCCGGCCUCAGCAGGAGGAUGAGUGGGUGAACGUGCAGUACCCAGACCAGCCUGAGGAACCCCCCGAGGCGCCCCAGGGCUGCCCCUCUCCCUCAGACCUGCUCUUGGAGCCCGCGGCUCUCCAGGUCACACAGUUUGACUGGUCGUCCGCCCAGGUUCCAGAGCCAGAUGCCAUCAAGGAGUCCCUGCUGUACUUGUACAUGGACAGGACCUGGAUGCCCUAUAUAUUUUCUCUGUCCUUGGAGGCUCUAAAAUGUUUCCGCAUCAGGAACAAUGAGAAGAUGCUGAGUGACAGCCACGGCGUGGAGACCAUCCGGGACAUCCUGCCAGACACAAGCCUUGGGGGCCCGUCCUUCUUCAAAAUCAUCACGGCCAAGGCUGUCCUGAAGCUGCAGGCCGGGAACGCCGAGGAGGCCGCCCUGUGGAGGGAUCUGGUCCGCAAAGUCCUGGCAUCCUACUUGGAGACGGCCGAGGAGGCAGUGACCCUAGGUGGGAGCCUGGAUGAAAACUGUCAGGAGGUGCUGAAAUUUGCCACCCGGGAGAACGGCUUCCUGCUGCAGUACCUGGUGGCCAUCCCCAUGGAGAAAGGCCUUGACUCCCAAGGCUGCUUCUGUGCAGGUGCCGACUUGCUCUGCUGCCACCCCCAGCCUGCCAGCCUCACUCCGCCUCCUGCGGGUUCCUGAUUUAGGCUCCCCACCCUUCUGCCUCCCCGCAAAUGCCCCCAUCCUUCCCCUAGGGAUGAGGCCACAGAUCAGGCUUGCCCUACAGCUUCUGCUCCUCCCCAGCCCCGGCUGGGGCCAGUGCCCUGUUCAUAGGCAGUGGGCCCUGCUCACCCGUCCCUCUCCUGCCACCUCCCACUGAUGGGCAGCAGGCUGGCUACUCACUGCGCUGCGCAGGGAGUCCCAGCCUGCUUCAUUUUCUUCUUGCUCUACUGUCCUGUUCUUUCAGAGCAGGGGCAUGGUUUCCUUCCAAAUAUUUCUGCUGCUUUUGUAAGUGUACACCCUUUUUUUUUUAAUUACAAAAAUGGGCUCGUGCUA